UACGUAGGGUGCAAGCGUUAUCCGGAAUUAUUGGGCGUAAAGAGCUCGUAGGCGGUUUGUCGCGUCUGCUGUGAAAACCCGAGGCUCAACCUCGGGCCUGCAGUGGGUACGGGCAGACUAGAGUGCGGUAGGGGAGAUUGGAAUUCCUGGUGUAGCGGUGAAAUGCGCAGAUAUCAGGAGGAACACCAAUGGCGAAGGCAGCUCGCUGGAACGGUACUGACGCUGAGGCGCGAAAGCGUGGGGAGCGAACAGG
rnacentral:rRNA from 1 species